GCUAACAGAAGAACAGGGUGACAUUUAAUUGUUGCACCUGAUAAAAAAAUUUCAUCUCAAGCGGGAUCUCUUCUACGACUUUGCAGACCUUGUCCUCCUGUUCCAUUUGUCAACUAUCUAUUAGCCUGCUGUGGAACGACACAAACUGGUCACAUGACCAGGCACGAAUGGUAUCCUGGAGAAGGAGGAUAGAUAACGAGGUGGCCAGAAGACCUGGCUUGCAGACUGGCUUUUCUGGAUUUGCUCAAGACAGACACGUGGCUCACCUUGUCUAUCCAGUCGCCCAUCUCACCACCUCGCCCCCCGACGAUCGGUGCAGGCGGACCAGGCUCCCCGGUCCUCAAC
rnacentral:misc_RNA from 1 species